AUGGGCACAAGGUUGUUCUUCUAUGUGGCCCUUUGUCUCCUGUGGACAGGACACAUGGAUGCUGGAAUCACCCAGAGCCCAAGACACAAGGUCACAGAGACAGGAACACCAGUGACUCUGAGAUGUCACCAGACUGAGAACCACCGCUAUAUGUACUGGUAUCGACAAGACCCGGGGCAUGGGCUGAGGCUGAUCCAUUACUCAUAUGGUGUUAAAGAUACUGACAAAGGAGAAGUCUCAGAUGGCUAUAGUGUCUCUAGAUCAAAGACAGAGGAUUUCCUCCUCACUCUGGAGUCCGCUACCAGCUCCCAGACAUCUGUGUACUUCUGUGCCAUCAGUGAGUC